rnacentral:lncRNA from 1 species
UGUGUCUCACCAGAUUCCCUAAGCUGCCAAGACACCUUUAUCACCAGAGGAAGGGCGAAGGACCUCCAUCAACAGAGGAAGUGAUUCCACAUGAUUGUGAUGGUUUGUUUCAAAGCAAGAGAGUGGGGCACUUGACACCCAGGAACACUUGCUUCUCUUACAGCUCAAGGCUUCAUAUGUGGCAUUUCUCCACUUUUACAUUUUUGUUUAAAGCAGAAUAUAGACACUUCAAUGUUUCAAGAAUGAAAGUGAAAAUACAAGAGAAAAGCUAUAUCACAAGUUAAACUUCAGGUGGGUUACCUUGGAUGAAGGGUUUUGAAUUCACAUGGAGGGUGUUUGGGGAUGUUAGCUGUGAAGG